rnacentral:rRNA from 1 species
ACUCCUACGGGAGGCAGCAGUAAGGAAUAUUGGACAAUGGCCGCAAGCCUGAUGGAGCGACGCCGCGUGGGGGAUGAAUGGCUUCGGCCCGUAAACCCCUGUCAUUUGCGAACAAACCUUAUUCAUGAAUAAUGAAUGAGCUGAUUGUAGCGGAAGAGGAAGGGACGGCUAACUCUGUGCCAGCAGCCGCGGUAAUACAGAGGUCCCGAGCGUUGUUCGGAUUCACUGGGCGUAAAGGGUGCGUAGGUGGUGAGGAAAGUCGGAUGUGAAAUCUCCGGGCUUAACCCGGAAACUGCAUUGGAAACUACCUUGCUAGAGGUUUUGAGGGGGGACUGGAAUUCUCGGUGUAGCAGUGAAAUGCGUAGAUAUCGAGAGGAACACCAGUGGCGAAGGCGAGUCCCUGGAAAACACCUGACACUGAGGCACGAAAGCUAGGGGAGCAAACAGGAUUAGAUACCCUGGUAGUCCUAGCCCUAAACGGUGCUUGCUUGCUGUAAGAGGAAUCGACCCCUCUUGUGGCGGAGCUAACGCGUUAAGCAAGCCGCCUGGGAAGUACGGUCGCAAGAUUAAAACUUAAAGGAAUUGACGG